rnacentral:lncRNA from 1 species
GGGGGGGGGAGGUAGGGAUCAUCUUUUCAUGCCUCAACGAUGGAGUUCUGCUGGCUGAGCUCAUAGCAGCAUCUGCAGUGGAAACAGUUAAUAUUUGUGUUUAAAAAAAAAAAAACAACACAUGAACAUGAGACUAAGGUAGAACGUUUAAAAAUAACUGUUCUUGAUGUUGCUACAGAGACCUUUAUUAUAGCCAUAGUACGUGAUGUGCAUUGAUUACAUUCCACAUAAGUAGCGUUUUCUCGCUCAGACUAGUAGGAACUGACAGUACUCCCACUUGUAUGAGACAGUAUGAAGAAGCAUGCAGGCUGUGGCAGAAAGGAGGUGUGCUUGGCUUUUCAACUCUUAAAAACUAUGGUCCGCCCUUCAGUACAUGACUGAAGCCUGUCCUAAAAUGGGAAAAUUAUCCUUUGGUUAAGAAUGAUUUGAAUUCUUUUCUCCGUCAGAAGUUUGGAACUGAACGUGAAGGACACAGAUUUAACUCAGCACUGCCAGAGGUUUUUGUCUACUAUUUUUACUGAUAAUCCCAAUGUUAGAGGAAAAGAAGAUCCCAAAGUCCCAAAUCUGAAGCUGGGGUGUACACAGGUUUGCAACUAUUAGUGUCACUGAAAGUCUUCAGGCCGUGUCCUUACGCUGCUUGAGUUUGUGCAAGAACGUGUUGUGAUAAAGCUACCUGCUUAAAGGCUGGUCACGUGAGUCCUCAUGCUCUAUCUUUUUGUUCUUUGACUCCAGAAAAUCAAUACAGGCACAGGAAGUCGGUUGUAAAACCCUGUUACCAGGGAGGAACGGAAACAAGACGAUUAAGAGAGCUAUCAUUUACAUGAAAACCAGAAGCCAGGGAAGCAGAUGCAGCACGAAGGAGCAUACGUGUGACAAAUCUCACUUGUGUCUGAAUUAAAGAGCAGUUCCUGGACUUAAAAUGCAAUGGCAGGCUGCAAAUAAAGGAAAUCUUCCAUUUGCCUUGGAUACUGAACCAGACCAGACAGCUGUAGUGCUCUCUCGAUGGUAGAACCCUCAGGACAGUUGAAAGGAAGGGAUGUACCACAGCAAUCUGUCAUCAGUGCAACUUCCAGCAAUCUUUGUAGCUAACAGAUCACAGUGGAUUUUCUUUCUCCUCAUGAAUUUACCUAAUCACUUUCUAAAUCCUGUUUCAUGCAGUACUGUGAGAAUGAUAAUCUAAUUUUGGUCUCUAAGACAUGAAAUACAAAAACAAUAGGAGGCCCAGGAAAGAAUGAAGCCAUUUUGCCAACAGAUAUUACAAAAACAUGCAACAAUUAUAGCACAUUGACGAAGAAAAUUACUAAAACCGCUAAUUACAAAAUAACCCAGCAUUUCCUGCUGUGAAAAUGAAUUUGUUAUUUAGACCACUUCACUGUUUUUGAUAAAUCACCACCUGUAAUUGCUUUUCUAAGCUCGUGAUAGGGGUAUUUCUCUAUUUGGUGCCAUGAUGUCAAAUUGAAAGAGUACCUUUUCGACUGGUCGCAUUGUCUAGGGUUAAAUAGAAAACCUUUCCAAACUCUUCUUCACUCCAAGAUUUUUGUAUCAGUCAUGGAUGAGAAGAAAAAAGACAAAUGUCACCACUCUUUGCCUAGCUGUGAGAAAUUCACUGCCUGUGAAGUUAUGCUACUUGUUCUCUGCUACAAUACUAACUUUCAUGUAUUUUGCAAUCCCUGUCUAUCUCUGUUGUAAUUUCUUGCAAAGUGUUGAAAAUGUAAAGCUCUACACUCACAAUUGCCCCACAAUCUGAUUUACAAACUAAAAGAAUAUACCUGG